rnacentral:rRNA from 1 species
GAUGAACGCUAGCGGGAGGCUUAACACAUGCAAGUCGAGCGGGAUUGGUAGCAAUACCAUGAGAGCGGCGGACGGGUGCGUAACGCGUAUGCAACCUGCCUUAUACAAAGGGAUAGCCCAUGGGAACGUGGAUUAAUAUUUUAUGGAACUGAUUAAUUGCAUGGUUAAUCAGUUAAAACUUUGGUGGUAUAAGAUGGGCAUGCGUUUGAUUAGCUAGUUGGUGAGGUAACGGCUCACCAAGGCGACGAUCAGUAGGGGUUUUGAGAGGAUUACCCCCCACACUGGUACUGAGACACGGACCAGACUCCUACGGGAGGCAGCAGUGAGGAAUAUUGGUCAAUGGACGAAAGUUUGAACCAGCCAUCCCGCGUGCAGGAUGACGGCCCUAUGGGUUGUAAACUGCUUUUUUACUCCAAGAAACCUCCCGACGUGUCGGGAGCUGACGGUAGAGUAGGAAUAAGCACCGGCUAACUCCGUG